rnacentral:misc_RNA from 1 species
CCGAGUUUACAACUCCCAAAACCCCUGUGAACAUACCUGUUUUGUUGCUUCGGCGGUGUCCAGCGGCCCCUCGCGGGACGUGGCCCGCCAGAGGACCCAACCAAACCCUUGAUUUUUAUCCCGGUAUUUUAUCUGAGUACUUCAUGAAAAUGAAAUCA